ACCAAUCCAUGGCCAAGACCAACCCAAAGCCCAACCCAAAGUCGAGACCAACCCAAAGUCAAGACCAACCAAUCCAUGGCCAAGACCGACCAAUGGUCAACAUCCACCCAUGGCCAAGACCAACCCAAAGUCAAGACCAAUCCAUGGCCAAGACCAACCCAAAGUCGAGACCAAUCCAAAGUCAAGAUCAACUCAACGACCAACCCAAAGUCAAGUCCAACCCAAGGCCAAGACCAAUCCAUGGCCAAGGCCGACCCAAAGGCCAACCCAAGGCCAAGACCAACCCAAAGUCGUGACCA